AUAAGAUGUUCAAGGUUUUAUCCCUGAGUUGGCAUACGCUGAAAGAAACACUUUGAGAAGAAGACAAAUUAUACUCUCGUUACUAACACUGACAUUUCGUUGGAAGAGAUUUUGUUCUCGGUGAUUGGGCAUAGUGAUUUUGAUGCAUCGCCUGAUCUCAUUCUCACAGAGGAUAUCAAUGGGGUGAAUGCCGGUACUCAACCUAUUGAUGCACAUGGACAUGAUGACUCUCUAGCGUUGAUGGACCAACCAACCUGUAAUCAUGGACCUUAUUGUCUUGUAGACCAUUUGGUGUUUCGAGUGUUUUGGAGCUUGCACUUUGUACAUGUAGAUACAAACUUGUGUGUUCUGGACCAUCUGAAGUCUCUCAUAGUAACCAAUCGUCCUUAUCUUUU